AUUGAACGCUGGCGGCAUGCCUUACACAUGCAGGUCGAACGGUAACAGGUCUUCGGAUGCUGACGAGUGGCGAACGGGUGAGUAAUGCAUCGGAACGUGCCCAGUAGUGGGGGAUAGCCCGGCGAAAGCCGGAUUAAUACCGCAUACGACCCGAGGGUGAAAGGGGGGGAUCGCAAGACCUCUCGCUAUUGGAGCGGCCGAUGUCAGAUUAGCUAGUUGGUGGGGUAAAGGCCUACCAAGGCAACGAUCUGUAGUUGGUCUGAGAGGACGACCAGCCACACUGGGACUGAGACACGGCCCAGACUCCUACGGGAGGCAGCAGUGGGGAAUUUUGGACAAUGGGCGCAAGCCUGAUCCAGCAAUGCCGCGUGCAGGAAGAAGGCCUUCGGGUUGUAAACUGCUUUUGUCAGGGAAGAAAUCUUCUGGGUUAAUACCUCGGGAGGAUGACGGUACCUGAAGAAUAAGCACCGGCUAACUGCGUGCCAGCAGCCGCCGUAACAC
rnacentral:rRNA from 1 species